rnacentral:rRNA from 1 species
UGAAAUGCAUAGAUAUGUCUUAGAACUCCGAUUGCGAAGGCAGCUCACUAAGCUGGUAUUGACGCUGAUGCACGAAAGCGUGGGGAUCGAACAGGAUUAGAUACCCUGGUAGUCCACGCCCUAAACGAUGAUAACUCGAUGUUGGCGAUAGUCAGCCAGCGUCUUAGCGAAAGCGUUAAGUUAUCCACCUGGGGAGUACGCCCGCAAGGGUGAAACUCAAAGGAAUUGACGGGGGCCCGCACAAGCGGAGGAGCAUGUGGUUUAAUUCGAUGAUACGCGAGGAACCUUACCCGGGCUUGAAAGUUAGUGAAGGAUGCAGAGACGCAUCCGUCCUUCGGGACCCGAAACUAGGUGCUGCAUGGCUGUUGUCAGCUCGUGCCGUGAGGUGUUGGGUUAAGUCCCGCAACGAGCGCAACCCCUAUGUUUAGUUGCCAGCAUGUAAUGGUGGGGACUCUAAACAGACUGCCUGUGCAAACAGCGAGGAAGGUGGGGACGACGUCAAGUCAUCAUGGCCCUUACGUCCGGGGCUACACACGUGCUACAAUGGAUGGUACAGCGGGCAGCUAGCCGGCAACGGCAUGCUAAUCUCUAAAAGCCAUUCACAGUUCGGAUUGGGGUCUGCAACUCGACCCCAUGAAGUUGGAUUCGCUAGUAAUCGCGUAUCAGCAAUGACGCGGUGAAUACGUUCCCGGGCCUUGUCCACUCCCCCCGUCAAGCCAUGAAAGUUGGGGGUACCUAAAGCAUGCGACCGCAAGGAG